CCUACGGGAGGCUGCAGUCGAGGAUCUUCCGCAAUGGGCGAAAGCCUGACGGAGCGACACCGCGUACAGGAUGAAGGCCUUCGGGUUGUAAACUGUUGUCACGCUAUAGGAACCCCUUGGUGUGAACAGCACCAAGGCUGACUAAAGCGAGAGGAAGCAACGGCUAACUCUGUGCCAGCAGCCGCGGUAAGACAGAGGUUGCAAACGUUGUUCGGAAUCACUGGGCAUAAAGCGCACGUAGGCGGUCUGUUAAGUCAGGUGUGAAAGCCCCCGGCUCAACCGGGGAACAGCAUUUGAUACUGACAGACUCGAGGAUGGUAGGGGUGAGUGGAACUCCAGGUGGAGCGGUGAAAUGCGUAGAUAUCUGGAGGAACACCGGUGGCGAAAGCGGCUCACUGGACCAUCUCUGACGCUGAGGUGCGAAAGCUAGGGUAGCAAAC
rnacentral:rRNA from 1 species